rnacentral:rRNA from 1 species
AUUGAACGCUGGCGGUAGGCCUAACACAUGCAAGUCGAACGCGAAAGUCCUCGGAUGAGUAGAGUGGCGGACGGGUGAGUAACGCGUAGGAAUCUACCCUGUAGUGGGGGAGUAACGUUUCGAAAGGAACGCUAAUACCGCAUACGCCCCAAGGGGGAAAGCGGGGGAUCUUCGGACCUCGUGCUAUAGGAGGAGCCUGCGUCGGAUUAGCUAGUUGGUGAGGUAAAGGCUCACCAAGGCGACGAUCCGUAGCUGGUCUGAGAGGAUGAUCAGCCACACCGGAACUGAGACACGGUCCGGACUCCUACGGGAGGCAGCAGUGGGGAAUAUUGCGCAAUGGGCGAAAGCCUGACGCAGCCAUACCGCGUGUGUGAAGAAGGCC